UCAUCCAAACAAACUCUUUGUUGAUGAAGUCCUAACAGUUCAAAGGUCACUGAAGAACAAAGGACUGAUUGUUCCUGAGGAAGAAAUUCAAUUAGCAUGGAGUCACGCAUACAGGCUCCACUUCUUGCAACAAACACAACAGAAAGCACACAAUUGUCAGAAAGGAUUUCUGUUAAGACAACAUAGCCCGCAAUUUGCUUGCCCUGAGGUGACAUUCUUUUGGCGAGUACAGCAAGUAAUGUAGAGUUCCGCCCGCACACUCAAAGUACAAAUAUUAGACAGGGAAGUGAGACAGCUUGAGCAGCAGCUAAAGAUUAUUUUGGAUAACAUUGGUAAUGAUGAGAAAAGGAAGAGGGAUCUUAUUAGAGGCAAUGCUGUGGACAAAGCUGAACAACUUAAGCAAGUCCGUUUGAUACAAGAAAAGUUGGACUCAUUUCGACAGUCACUCCUGAAGCAGCAGAAAAGACAAACAAACUAGUUUCAAUAUCUCAUUUCUUUGUCUUAAAUUGGCAUGAAAACAAAAAUAUUACCCAUUUUGGUAUAAUAUGAUGUGUAUGGUUUUAAUUUGCAA